UACGGAGGGUGCAAGCGUUGUUCGGAUUUACUGGGCGUAAAGCGUAUGUAGGUGGUCGGUUAAGUUCAGUGUUAAAUCUUAAGGCUCAACCUUAAACCUGCACUGAAUACUGGCUGACUAGAGGGCAAUAGAGGAAGGUGGAAUUCCCAAUGUAGCGGUGAAAUGCGUAGAUAUUGGGAGGAACAUCAGUAGCGAAGGCGACCUUCUGGGUUGUCCCUGACACUGAGGUACGAAAGCGUGGGGAGCAAACGGG
rnacentral:rRNA from 1 species